rnacentral:rRNA from 1 species
UACGUAGGGGGCGAGCGUUGUCCGGAUUUACUGGGCGUAAAGCGUCCGUAGGCGGCUGGCUCAGUCUGGCGUGAAAUCUCCCCGCUCAACGGGGAGGGGUCGUCGGAUACUGGUCGGCUGGAGGGCAGUAGAGGGAGACGGAAUUCCCGGAGUAGUGGUGAUAUGCGUAGAGACCGGGAGGAACACCGGUGGCGAAGGCGGUCUCCUGGGCUGCCCCUGACGCUCAGGGACGAAAGCGUGGGGAGCGAAC